UACGUAGGCAGCGAGCGUUGUUCGGAGUUACUGGGCGUAAAGAGUGCGUAGGCGGUGUUCCAAGUCUGUUGUGAAAUCUCCCGGCUCAACUGGGAGGGUGCGGCGGAAACUGGGACGCUGGAGUACGGGAGAGGUAAGCGGAAUUCCUGGUGUAGCGGUGAAAUGCGUAGAUAUCAGGAGGAACACCUGCGGUGUAGACGGCUUACUGGACCGUAACUGACGCUGAGGCACGAAAGCGUGGGUAGCAAACAGG
rnacentral:rRNA from 2 species